rnacentral:tRNA from 1 species
GCCCAGAUAGCUCAGUUGGUAGAGCAGUGGACUGAAAAUCCUCGUGUGGCUGGUUCGAUUCCGGCUCUGGGCACCA